rnacentral:rRNA from 1 species
AUUGAACGCUGGCGGAAUGCUUUACACAUGCAAGUCGAGCGGCAGCACGGGGGCAACCCUGGUGGCGAGCGGCGAACGGGUGAGUAAUACAUCGGAACAUGCCCAGUCGUGGGGGAUAACACUUCGAAAGAAGUGCUAAUACCGCAUACGUCCUGAGGGAGAAAGCGGGGGAUCGCAAGACCUCGCGCGAUUGGAGUGGCCGAUGUCAGAUUAGCUAGUUGGUGGGGUAAAGGCCUACCAAGGCAACGAUCUGUAGCUGGUCUGAGAGGAUGAUCAGACACACUGGGAAUGAGACACGGCCCAGACUCCUACGGGAGGCAGCAGUGGGGAAUUUUGGACAAUGGGGGCAACCCUGAUCCAGCCAUUCCGCGUGAGUGAAGAAGGCCUUCGGGGUGUAAAGCUCUUUCGGCAGGAACGAAACGGUGAGCUCUAACAUAGCUUACUAAUGACGGUACCUGAAGAAGAAGCACCGGCUAACUACGUGCCAGCCGCCGCGGUAAUAC